GAUGAACGCUGGCGGCGUGCCUAAUACAUGCAAGUAGAACGCUGAAGGAAGGAGCUUGCUCUUUCCGGAUGAGUUGCGAACGGGUGAGUAACGCGUAGGUAACCUGCCUGGUAGCGGGGGAUAACUAUUGGAAACGAUAGCUAAUACCGCAUAACAGUAGAUGUUGCAUGAUAUCUACUUAAAAGGUGCAAUUGCACCACUACCAGAUGGACCUGCGUUGUAUUAGCUAGUUGGUGAGGUAACGGCUCACCAAGGCGACGAUACAUAGCCGACCUGAGAGGGUGAGCGGCCAGACUGGGACGGAGACCCGGCCCAGACGCCUACGGGAGGGAGCAGGAGGGAAUCUUGGGGAAUGGGCGGAAGUCUGACCGAGCAAGGCCGCGGGAGGGAAGAGGGGUUUCGGGUCGUAAAGCUCUGUUGUAAGAGAAGAAAGAGGGUGAGAGUGGAAAGUUCACACUGUGACGGUAUCUGAUCAGAAAGGGACGGCUAACUACGUG
rnacentral:rRNA from 1 species